rnacentral:tRNA from 1 species
UGUAGCUCAGUGGUAGAGCACUUGCCUAAUAUGUGCAAGGGCCUGGGUUUAAUUCCCAGCA